UACGUAGGGAGCAAGCGUUGUCCGGAAUCAUUGGGCGUAAAGCGCGCGUAGGUGGCCAUGUAAGUCCGCUGUGAAAGUCAAAGGCUCAACCUUUGAACGCCGAUGGAUACUGCCGGGCUAGAGUCCGGAAGAGGCGAGUGGAAUUCCUGGUGUAGCGGUGGAAUGCGCAGAUAUCAGGAGGAACACCAAUAGCGAAGGCAGCUCGCUGGGACGGUACUGACGCUGAGGCGCGAAAGCGUGGGGAGCGAACAGG
rnacentral:rRNA from 1 species